GCCUUCGUGGUGUAGUGGUCUGCAUGCUCUUCGCGUAACCGAGAGAUCCGUGGUUCGAUUCCCGGCGAAGGCG
rnacentral:tRNA from 1 species